AAAAGGUAAGCUGCUAAGAGCGAAUGGUGGAUGCCUUGACUGGUAAAGGCGAUGAAGGACGUACUAGACUGCGAUAAGCUACGGGGAGCUGUCAAGAAGCUUUGAUCCGUAGAUUUCCGAAUGGGGCAACCCAAUGUAUAGAGAUAUACAUUACCUAUAUAGGAGCGAACGAGGGGAAUUGAAACAUCUUAGUACCCUCAGGAAAAGAAAUCAAUAGAGAUUGUGUCAGUAGCGGCGAGCGAAAGCGCAAGAGGGCAAACCCAGUGCUUGCACUGGGGGUUGUAGGACUGCAAUGUGCAAGAGCUGAGUUUAGCAGAACAUUCUGGAAAGUAUAGCCAUAGAGGGUGAUAGUCCCGUAUGCGAAAAACAAAGCUUAGCUAGCAGUAUCCUGAGUAGGGCGGGACACGAGGAAUCCUGUCUGAAUCCGGGUCGACCACGAUCCAACCCUAAAUACUAAUACCAGAUCGAUAGUGCACAAGUACCGUGAGGGAAAGGUGAAAAGAACUGAGGUGAUCAGAGUGAAAUAGAACCUGAAACCAUUUGCUUACAAUCAUUCAGAGCACUAUGUAGCAAUACAGUGUGAUGGACUGCCUUUUGCAUAAUGAGCCUGCGAGUUGUGGUGUCUGGCAAGGUUAAGCAAACGCGAAGCCGUAGCGAAAGCGAGUCUGAAUAGGGCGCUUAGUCAGAUGCUGCAGACCCGAAACGAAGUGAUCUAUCCAUGAGCAAGUUGAAGCUAGUGUAAGAACUAGUGGAGGACUGAACCCAUAGGCGUUGAAAAGCCCCGGGAUGACUUGUGGAUAGGGGUGAAAGGCCAAUCAAACUUCGUGAUAGCUGGUUCUCUCCGAAAUAUAUUUAGGUAUAGCGUUGUGUCGUAAUAUAAGGGGGUAGAGCACUGAAUGGGCUAGGGCAUACACCAAUGUACCAAACCCUAUCAAACUCCGAAUACCUUAUAUGUAAUCACAGCAGUCAGGCGGCGAGUGAUAAAAUCCGUCGUCAAGAGGGAAACAACCCAGACUACCAGCUAAGGUCCCUAAAUCUUACUUAAGUGGAAAACGAUGUGAAGUUACUUAAACAACCAGGAGGUUGGCUUAGAAGCAGCCAUCCUUUAAAGAAAGCGUAAUAGCUCACUGGUCUAGUGAUUUUGCGCGGAAAAUAUAACGGGGCUAAAGUAAGUACCGAAGCUGUAGACUUGCGCACAACUUAGAUUAUUUAAGUUUAGAAUAUGAGAAACUAAGUUAUAUUUUUACUGAUUUUUAUAGAGUAAAGAUAGAAAUAAAACUUAGUAAAAUCAGUAAAAAUAUUCUUAGGCUAAAGUUAAGUAGUUUAAGUUGUGUGCAAGUGGUAGGAGAGCGUUCUAUUUGCGUCGAAGGUAUACCGGUAAGGAGUGCUGGAGCGAAUAGAAGUGAGCAUGCAGGCAUGAGUAGCGAUAAUUAAUGUGAGAAUCAUUAACGCCGUAAACCCAAGGUUUCCUACGCGAUGCUCGUCAUCGUAGGGUUAGUCGGGUCCUAAGUCGAGUCCGAAAGGGGUAGACGAUGGCAAAUUGGUUAAUAUUCCAAUACCAACAUUAGUGUGCGAUGGAAGGACGCUUAGGGCUAAGGGGGCUAGCGGAUGGAAGUGCUAGUCUAAGGUCGUAGGAGGUUAUACAGGCAAAUCCGUAUAACAAUACUCCGAGAACUGAAAGGCUUUUUGAAGUCUUCGGAUGGAUAGAAGAACCCCUGAUGCCGUCGAGCCAAGAAAAGUUUCUAAGUUUAGCUAAUGUUGCCCGUACCGUAAACCGACACAGGUGGGUGGGAUGAGUAUUCUAAGGCGCGUGGAAGAACUCUCUUUAAGGAACUCUGCAAAAUAGCACCGUAUCUUCGGUAUAAGGUGUGGUUAGCUUCGUACUAGGAUUUACUCCGAAAGCGAAGAAACUUACAACAAAGAGUCCCUCCCGACUGUUUACCAAAAACACAGCACUCUGCUAACUCGUAAGAGGAUGUAUAGGGUGUGACGCCUGCCCGGUGCUCGAAGGUUAAUUGAUGGGGUUAGCAUUAGCGAAGCUCUUGAUCGAAGCCCGAGUAAACGGCGGCCGUAACUAUAACGGUCCUAAGGUAGCGAAAUUCCUUGUCGGUUAAAUACCGACCUGCAUGAAUGGCGUAACGAGAUGGGAGCUGUCUCAAAGAGGGAUCCAGUGAAAUUGUAGUGGAGGUGAAAAUUCCUCCUACCCGCGGCAAGACGGAAAGACCCCGUGGACCUUUACUACAGCUUGACACUGCUAUUUGGAUAAGAAUGUGCAGGAUAGGUGGGAGGCUUUGAGUAUAUGACGCCAGUUGUAUAGGAGCCAUUGUUGAG
rnacentral:rRNA from 1 species